CGAAAGUUAGCUCACUGGUAGAGCAAUCGACUCAUAAUCGAUGUGUUGCAGGUUCAAUUCCUGUACUUUCUCCCA
rnacentral:tRNA from 1 species